rnacentral:rRNA from 1 species
GAUGAAUGCUGGCGGCGUGCCUAACACAUGCAAGUCGAGCGGCAGCGAGUUUUACACUGAAUUCUGGAAGCUUCUGAGUAGUACAGAAGAUUUAUUCAAGAGUUUUGUGUAAAAUGUCGGCGAGCGGCGGACGGCUGAGUAACGCGUAGGAAUUUGCCCCAAAGUGAGGAAUAACUGCCCGAAAGGGUAGCUAAUGCCGCAUAUUGUCUUCGGAUUAAAGCCUUCGGGCGCUUUGGGAGAAGCCUGCGUUGGAUUAGGUAGUUGGUAGGGUAAUGGCCUACCAAGCCGACGAUCCAUAGCUGGUCUGAGAGGAUGAUCAGCCAGACUGGAACUGAGACACGGUCCAGACUCCUACGGGAGGCAGCAGUGAGGAAUCUUCCACAAUGGGCGAAAGUCUGAUGGAGCAACGCCGCGUGAAGGAUGAAGGCCUUCGGGUUGUAAACUUCUUUUAUGAGUGAAGAAUAUGACGGUAACUCAUGAAUAAGCACCGGCUAACUACGUG